rnacentral:rRNA from 1 species
UACAGAGGGUGCAAGCGUUGUUCGGAAUUAUUGGGCGUAAAGGGUAGGUAGGUGGUCUCGUUUGUCUGGGGUGAAAGCCUUGAGCUUAACUCAAGAAGUGCCCCAGAAACGGCGAGACUAGAGUCCUGGAGAGGGUCGUGGAAUUCCCGGUGUAGCGGUGAAAUGCGUAGAGAUCGGGAGGAACACCAGAGGCGAAGGCGGCGACCUGGACAGGUACUGACACUCGAACUACGAAAGCGUGGGGAGCAAACAGG